rnacentral:rRNA from 1 species
AUGGGAUCCCUGCAGACCGUACCGAGAACCGACACUGGUGCCCUAGGUGAGAAGCCUAAGGUGUGUCGGGUCUACUCCGUGGCGAGGGAACUCGGCAAAUUAGCCCCGUAACUUCGGGAGAAGGGGUGCCUGUGGUUUUGGCUUAGGCUGGAACCGCAGGUUGCAGUGACAAGGGGGUCCCGGCUGUUUACUAAAAACAUAGGGAGCCGCAAGCCCGAAAGGGUGUGUACGGCUCUUGAAUCCUGGCCAGUGGCGGUACCUGAAACCCGGUUCCAACCGGGCUAAGGGCCGCUAAACGCCGGGAGUAACUCUGACUCUCUUAAGGUAGCCAAAUGCCUUGUCGGGUAAGUUCCGACGUGCAUGAAUGGAUCCACGAGGGCCCCACUGUCCCCGCCCGGAACCCGGUGAACCCACAUAACCUGGACGAACAGUCCAGGAACCCCCAACGGGGAGAGAAGACCCCGUGGAGCUUUACUGCAGCCUGCCGCUGGGACAUGGCUUUGGAUGCAGAGUGUAGGCGGGAGUCGAUGAAACAACCUCUCCGGAGGUUGUGAAGACACCAAUGGAACACCGCCCUUCCAAGGCUGUGUCCCUAACCAAGGGGUCAACCCUUGGGACAACGACAGGUGGGCAGUUUGGCUGGGGCGGCACUCCCUUGAAAAGAUAUCAAGGGAGCCCAAAGCUCGGCUCAACUGGGACAGAAACCCAGUGUAGAGGGCAAGGCCAAAAGCCGGGCUGACUGGGUCCUCCAAAGCAAGGGACCCAGAGGCGAAAGCCGGGCCUAGCGAUCCUUCAUGUCCCCAUUAGUGGGGGCUGGAGGUGACAGAAAAGUUACCCCGGGGAUAACAGGCUUGUCGCGGGCGAGAGUUCCCAUCGACCCCGCGGUUUGGUACCUCGAUGUCGGCUCUUCCUAUCCUGGCGGUGUAGCUGCCGCCAAGGGUGGGGCUGCUCGCCUAUUAAAAGGGAACGUGAGCUGGGUUUAGACCGUCGUGAGACAGGUCGGACUCUACCUGUUGGGGGUGUUGGCUGCCUGAGGGGAAGGUGUCCUCAGUACGAGAGGAACGGGGUGUCGCAGCCUCCGGUUUACCGGUUGUCCGGUUGGGCAGGUGCCGGGCAGCUGCGCUGUUGGGGAUAAGAGCUGAAAGCAUCUAAGCUCGAAGCCCUUCCCGAAACUAGGCAGCCGUUCCACAACCUUUGGGGUCUGGUAACAGACCUUUUUUUGGGUUGUGGACGAGGGCUGGGGUAGAAGACCCCGUUGAUGGGGUGGGUGUGUAAGCACCAAGAACCGUUUGGUUCGAGGUGUUUAGCACGCCACUCCCAAUCGCCCGAGGUGUCAGGG